AACGAACGCUGGCGGCAUGCCUAACACAUGCAAGUCGAACGAGUGCCUUCGGGUGCUAGUGGCGCACGGGUGCGUAACGCGUGGGAAUCUGCCCUUGAGUUCGGAAUAACCGUUGGAAACGACGGCUAAUACCGGAUGAUGUCGAUAAGACCAAAGAUUUAUCGCCUGAGGAUGAGCCCGCGUAGGAUUAGCUAGUUGGUGUGGUAAGAGCGCACCAAGGCGACGAUCCUUAGCUGGUCUGAGAGGAUGAUCAGCCACACUGGGACUGAGACACGGCUCAGACUCCUACGGGAGGCAGCAGUGGGGAAUAUUGGACAAUGGGCGCAAGCCUGAUCCAGCAAUGCCGCGUGAGUGAUGAAGGCCUUAGGGUUGUAAAGCUCUUUUACCCGGGAUGAUAAUGACAGUACCGGGAGAAUAAGCUCCGGCUAACUCCGUGCCAGCCGCCGCCGUAACAC
rnacentral:rRNA from 1 species